CCUACGGGAGGCUGCAGUGGGGAAUAUUGGACAAUGGGGGCAACCCUGAUCCAGCCAUGCCGCGUGUGUGAAGAAGGCCCUCGGGUUGUAAAGCACUUUCAGUGAGGAAGAACGCCUGGUGGUUAAUACCCAUCAGGAAAGACAUCACUCACAGAAGAAGCACCGGCUAACUCCGUGCCAGCAGCCGCGGUAAUACGGAGGGUGCGAGCGUUAAUCGGAAUUACUGGGCGUAAAGCGCGCGUAGGUGGCUUGAUAAGCCGGUUGUGAAAGCCCCGGGCUCAACCUGGGACCGGCAUCCGGAACUGUCAAGCUAGAGUGCAGGAGAGGAAGGUAGAAUUCCCGGUGUAGCGGUGAAAUGCGUAGAGAUCGGGAGGAAUACCAGUGGCGAAGGCGGCCUUCUGGACUGACACUGACACUGAGGUGCGAAAGCGUGGGUAGCAAACAGGAUUAGAUACCCGUGUAGUC
rnacentral:rRNA from 1 species